GAUGAAGAACGUAGCGAAAUGCGAUAAGUAAUGCGAAUUGCAGAAUUUCCGUGAGUCAUCGAAUCUUUGAACGCACAUUGCGCCCACUGGUAUUCCGGUGGGCAUGCCUGUUCGAGCGUCAUUAUCCUCCCUCAAACCUCGGGUUUGGUGUUGGACCCAAGUUGUGUGAACAACUGGUCUCAAAGACAAUGACGGCGUCCGUGGGACCCUCGGUGCAACGAGCUUUUAGGAGCACGCGUCGAGUUUCAAGGACCUUCCGGGCCGGUCUCCUUUACUAUUUUUACAAGGUUGACCUCGGAUCAGGUAGGAAUACCCGCUGAACUUAAGCAUAUCAAUAAGCGGAGGA
rnacentral:misc_RNA from 1 species